rnacentral:lncRNA from 1 species
GUAGAGGGUGGGAAAAAAAGAAGGGAGAGGAGCUGGAGAGAGGAUGGGAAGACGUCGGGCUGCAGGUAGAAAGUCAUUAAAAAGCCGAGCCGCGCAGGAGAGACUUAAAAAAGGCGUCUCUGGUAUAAAUACCCAGCUUUAAAGGGAUUAGUGCGCCAGGAACUCUUUCCGUGAGGAGGAGAGCAGGGAGAGAGGGAGACGAGGGAUGGAGGGAAGAGGCAUACAGGGAGGAAGAUGAAGAUUGACGAAGAAAGUUAAGUCCUUGGUGGAGGGAGGCAUCACUUUCAGCACCAACAGAUGUGUACAGUCACACGCCAGCCACACAAAUCUGCCUGAGCAGAGCUGUGACGAGCAAGGGACAACCCACUCUGAAUCACGCUCAAACUUACACACACACACACACACACACACACACACACACACUCUCUCUCUCACACACACAUUGCCUCAGCUGAACUCACACAAACACACACUCUCUCUCUCUCACACACACACACACACAGGCUACAGCUGACAGCCAGGAGAGGCUUUGUCAGCUCACUGGCUGUUUUCUUGCAUCAGCACGAGCGUAAAGCUGGGAUCGGCACUCUGGAAUCGUCCUCCGCUCUGCCGCCCCAACCCUGUCCUGGCGCGGGGAGGGUCGCCAGGUAGCAGGACAGUGGUGGAGAACACAACAACAGCGGCCACAGCAAAGCAGCGCAACUCGCCUGCUGUGACACGGGGUGGAGGCAGUGGAGCGGGCAGCGGAGAGAGACUCCUCAGCUGUCCCCGGCGGAGCCUGCGGCCGGCCGUCUCUGCUGCAUUAAAAAUACGCGUCCCGGGAGGCGGCAAGAUGCCAAGAGUCAAUACCACAGGACUUCGCCUUCCUCUCGCACCGAAUAUUCCUGUCCUGCAGCACGACUUUUACUCAUGAACAUCAUACCCGAAGUGUUUCUGCAUUCAGUCCCUGUUUUCCUGUAUCAUGAAGAUAUCCUUCAAGUCUUCAUGCUCUGGAACCCGCUUUUGGCAGACAUUAACGGCAUCAAAGGAUUACCCCCUUGUCUUUCAGCAUUAAAAUAUCUUGCUUCUGGAUAAGAAUUUAUUAAUUCUGCAAGAAUUAGUCAGCCUAGUUAUAUCCUUAUAAAAUAACCCAGAAUUUACAUCAAAGAGCAACAUUUUAACGAACCAAGAGGCCUUGGGUCUGAUAAAAGCUUGCACCUCAAUUAGCUUGGACAGCGUGUGAGACCUCUUGAGGGAAGCUAAUGACAAGAAGCGCCAUACUCUCUGCCUGCUCUUAAUAGAAAUAUUCCAUCACUGAAACGGACAUGUCUAUUUUUCAUCCAGAGGGAGAACCCAUUUGCAUAUUUAUGAGUACAGAUACAUUCCAUCAUACAACACCUAAGACACAGUGGGGAAACACCACUAACCAUCAAGCUCAUGGACAAGUAACUCAUGACGUGCGAGACCAGUAGAAAUGUCAAGACCUUCAAGGGCUUAAAACAACAAACGUAUUUGCUCUAGAUACGACCUUCACUAAGCAGAAGAGAGGAUUGGACCUGCUGGGUUGGAGAGGAUAUUCCCCUCAUUUCCGUGAUGGUUUUUGCUUGUAUCUGUGGACGGAGAACAAGCAGUGCAAUAAAAGAAAAAUUAAACAAUUGGAUUAAGUAUGG